rnacentral:misc_RNA from 1 species
UCACCCCUCGAGCCCCCCUGGGCUUGGUGUUGGACGGCCUGGUCGGAGUCCCCUCCGACCCCUCCUAAAGACAAUGACGGCGGCCUCGUGGGACCCCCGGUACACUGAGCUUCUUAACUGAGCACGUAUCGGAUCAAGGGUGCCCGGGACCCGGUCUCCCCUUCUUCCCUCCCCGGGAGAAGCAACUCCUUUCUAA